rnacentral:lncRNA from 1 species
GACAUGGUCUUAUUGGGUAGCUCUAACUGGCCUGAAACUCCCUGUACAGUCAAGGCUAGCCUGAAACUCUCAACCUCUCAAAUGUUGAAAUAACAAGUGUGUACUACCAUGCCUGGCAAAUAGUAUAUUUUAAAUACUAUGAAUUUCCUCUCAUUCCCCUUGCUCAACUCUCAUUCCCCUUGCUCAAAUGUACAUAUACAUUUUUAUUUUAUUCUAUUUUUAUUUAAAAUAUUAGACUCCUUAUUUUCUUUUUUAUGGAUAUACUGUAUAUAACCUACAAAAAUAAUCCUGAGAAUUAACCAACCAAUUGUCCCAGGAAAUUUUAAAGAGUUGCAUUCUAAAAUUGAAAUGACAGGC